CCUACGGGCGGCAGCAGUGGGGAAUAUUGCACAAUGGGCGCAAGCCUGAUGCAGCCAUGCCGCGUGUGUGAAGAAGGCCUUCGGGUUGUAAAGCACUUUCAUCGGGGAGGAAGGAGUUAAGGUUAAUAACCUUGUCGAUUGACGUUACCCGCAGAAGAAGCACCGGCUAACUCCGUGCCAGCAGCCGCGGUAAUACGGAGGGGGCAAGCGUUAAUCGGAAUUACUGGGCGUAAAGCGCACGCAGGCGGUCUGUCAAGUCGGAUGUGAAAUCCCCGGGCUCAACCUGGGAACUGCAUUCGAAACUGGCAGGCUAGAGUCUUGUAGAGGGGGGUAGAAUUCCAGGUGUAGCGGUGAAAUGCGUAGAGAUCUGGAGGAAUACCGGUGGCGAAGGCGGCCCCCUGGACAAAGACUGACGCUCAGGUGCGAAAGCGUGGGGAGCAAACAGGAUUAGAUACCCUUGUAGUC
rnacentral:rRNA from 1 species